rnacentral:rRNA from 1 species
UACAGAGGUCUCAAGCGUUGUUCGGAUUCAUUGGGCGUAAAGGGUGCGUAGGCGGCGCGGUAAGUCGGGUGUGAAAUCUCGAAGCUCAACUUCGAAACUGCGCCUGAAACUACUAGUCUAGAAUGUCGGAGGGGGCAGGGGAAUUUCACGUGUAGGGGUAAAAAUCCGUAGAGAUGUGAAGGAACACCGGAGGCGAAGGCGCCUGCCUGGACGACUAUUGACGCUGAGGCGCGAAAGCGUGGGGAGCAAACAGG